GACGAACGCUGGCGGCGUGCUUAACACAUGCAAGUCGAACGGAAAGGCCCUGCUUUUGUGGGGUGCUCGAGUGGCGAACGGGUGAGUAACACGUGAGUAACCUGCCCUUGACUUUGGGAUAACUUCAGGAAACUGGGGCCAAUACCGGAUAGGAGCUCCUGCUGCAUGGUGGGGGUUGGAAAGUUUCGGCGGUUGGGGAUGGACUCGCGGCUUAUCAGCUUGUUGGUGGGGUAGUGGCUUACCAAGGCUUUGACGGGUAGCCGGCCUGAGAGGGUGACCGGCCACAUUGGGACUGAGAUACGGCCCAGACUCCUACGGGAGGCAGCAGUGGGGAAUAUUGCACAAUGGGCGGAAGCCUGAUGCAGCAACGCCGCGUGCGGGAUGACGGCCUUCGGGUUGUAAACCGCUUUCGCCUGUGACGAAGCGUGAGUGACGGUAAUGGGUAAAGAAGCACCGGCUAACUACGUGCCAGCAGCCGCGGUGAUACGUAGGGUGCGAGCGUUGUCCGGAUUUAUUGGGCGUAAAGGGCUCGUAGGUGGUUGAUCGCGUCGGAAGUGUAAUCUUGGGGCUUAACCCUGAGCGUGCUUUCGAUACGGGUUGACUUGAGGAAGGUAGGGGAGAAUGGAAUUCCUGGUGGAGCGGUGGAAUGCGCAGAUAUCAGGAGGAACACCAGUGGCGAAGGCGGUUCUCUGGGCCUUUCCUGACGCUGAGGAGCGAAAGCGUGGGGAGCGAACAGGCUUAGAUACCCUGGUAGUCCACGCUGUAAACGGUGGGUACUAGGUGUGGGGUCCAUUCCACGGGUUCCGUGCCGUAGCUAACGCUUUAAGUACCCCGCCUGGGGAGUACGGCCGCAAGGCUAAAACUCAAAGGAAUUGACGGGGCCCCGCACAAGCGGCGGAGCAUGCGGAUUAAUUCGAUGCAACGCGUAGAACCUUACCUGGGUUUGACAUGGAUCGGGAGUGCUCAGAGAUGGGUGUGCCUCUUUUGGGGUCGGUUCACAGGUGGUGCAUGGCUGUCGUCAGCUCGUGUCGUGAGAUGUUGGGUUAAGUCCCGCAACGAGCGCAACCCUUGUUCACUGUUGCCAGCACGUUAUGGUGGGGACUCAGUGGAGACCGCCGGGGUCAACUCGGAGGAAGGUGGGGAUGACGUCAAGUCAUCAUGCCCCUUAUGUCCAGGGCUUCACGCAUGCUACAAUGGCUGGUACAGAGAGUGGCGAGCCUGUGAGGGUGAGCGAAUCUCGGAAAGCCGGUCUCAGUUCGGAUUGGGGUCUGCAACUCGACCUCAUGAAGUCGGAGUCGCUAGUAAUCGCAGAUCAGCAACGCUGCGGUGAAUACGUUCCCGGG
rnacentral:rRNA from 1 species